rnacentral:rRNA from 1 species
GUCUUCUUGGAUUAAUUAGAAGUCGUGCCUGCCCNCUGAAUUUUAUACUGARGGCCCGCGGUAUUUUGACCGUGCUAAGGUAGCAUAAUCAUUAGUCUUUUAAUUGAAGGCUGGAAUGAAGGGUUUGACGAAAUAAUAACUGUCUCUUGAUUAAAAUUUUGAAGUUUACUUUUAAGUAAAAAGGCUUAAAUAGUAAUAGGGGACGAGAAGACCCUAUAGAUCUUAAUUUAUUUAUUAAUAAUUUUUUAUUGGUUGUUUUAGGAAUUAUUGGUGUAUAAAUUUUAUUGGGGUGAUAUAAGAAUAGUUAAAACUUCUUAUUAGAUUUUACUUUGAUUUAUGGAUUUUUGAUCCUUUAAUAUGGAUUUAAGAUUAAGAUACCUUAGGGAUAACAGCGUAAUUUUAUUUGAGAGUUCUUAUCGACAAUAAAGAUUGCGACCUCGAUGUUGGAUUAAGAUUAUAAAUUGGUGUAGAAGUUAAUUUUAUUAGUCUGUUCGACUAUUAAAUUCUUACA